UUAAGUUCAGGGGGUAUCCCUACCUGAUCUGAGGUCAAGCUUUAAAAUAAAUCGUUCAGUUGGCAGACGACUACACAGUUGCUUUAACGAGAAUAUUACUUACUACGUCUUACAAGCUGAAAUAGUGUCGCCAAUAGCUUAAAGGAGAGAGGCAGAGCCACUUCUCCCAAUACCAAACCAAGGUUUGAUUGAUUUAUUGA
rnacentral:misc_RNA from 2 species